AGUAACCACUGCACGGCGAGUUGGGCUUCUUUUAAUUUGUGGGAUUUCAAUAGUAGAGGGAAAACCAGGAGCUCCCGACUUGGGGUUGGGAGGAGGAGGAGGAGAAGAAGAAGAAGAGGAGGGGUUUAAGCAUUUCUCUUUCCUUCUCUCUCACUGCUAGUUUUUGAGGCUUCGAGUGACUUUAAUUGAACUGCAUGUAUUCAACCCUAGUGUAAAUAAUGACAUCAGUACCUUCAAAAAACAUAUGGAUCCGGCGGCAACAAUGCCCAUGUGGGGAUUGGAAAUGUUAUGUUGCGUAUGAGGGUGAUGCUGAAGAAACGUCCAUAGCAUCUCAAUUGAUAAAGAAUGAUUCGUCGCCAUCAGAUGCAAUGGUUUCUCCUUAUGUUGGAAUGAUAUUUAAGAGUGAUGAUGAUGCAUUUGAGUAUUAUGGAAAUUUUGCUAGAAAAAACGGGUUUUCGAUUAGGAAAGAGCGAUCGAGGCUGAGCCCGCAACUUGGUAUCUAUAAACGUGACUUUGUUUGUUACCGUUCUGGAUUUGCGCCCAUGAAGAAAAAGCCUACUGGAGAGCACCACAGGGAUAGAAAAUCGGUGAGGUGUGGAUGUGAUGCAAAAAUGUAUUUGUCGAAGGAGAUAGUUGAAGGGGUUUCUCAAUGGUUUGUUGUGCAGUUCAGUAAUGUCCAUAACCACGAACUUUUGGAAGAUGACCAAGUGCGCCUCCUUCCAGCGUAUCGUAAAAUUCAUGAGGCAGAUCAAGAGCGCAUAUUGUUACUUUCUAAAGCAGGUUUUCCCAUUCAUCGUAUUGUGAAGGUGCUGGAAUUGGAAAAGGGGAUUCAGGGUGGGCAAUUGCCAUUUUUGGAGAGGGAUGUCAGAAAUUUUGUUCAAAACCGUAAGAAGCUUGUUCAGGAAAAUGAUGCGUUGCUCACUGAAAAGAGAGAAACUGAUACGAUGGAACUUCUUGAGGCAUGCAAGGCCACAAAAGAGACAGAUGAAGACUUUGUUUAUGAUUUUACAGUGGAUGAGAAUGACAAAGUUGAAAAUAUUGCCUGGUCCUAUGGUGACUCAGUUCAUGCAUACACCAUGUUCGGGGAUGUACUUUAUUUCGACACUACUUAUCAAUCAAUCACGUAUGGAAUGCUUUUUGGAGCAUGGCUUGGGAUUGACAACCAUGGUAGAACCAUCUUCUUUGGCUGUGUCCUGUUGCAAGAUGAAACACCGCGCUCCUUCUCAUGGGCUUUGCAGAGUUUUGUCCGAUUCAUGAGAGGUAGAUGUCCACAAACAAUUCUAACUGAUCUUGACCCUGGGCUUAGAGACGCAAUAAGAAGUGAAUUGCCUGGCACUAAACACGUCACUUCUAUAUGGAAUAUUUUCUCCAAACUACCAAGUUGGUUCUCUCUCCCACUUGGAUCUCGCUAUGGAGAAUUCAAACAUGAGUUCGAUGUCUUAUAUAAUGUGGACGGUGUGGAUGAAUUUGAACUUAGAUGGAAUCAAAUGGUUACAAUGUUUGGACUUGGUUCAGACAAACACAUUGCUUUACUCUUUUCUUUUCGGACAUCUUGGGCACUGUCCUAUAUGAGAGGCUACUUUCUUGCCCAGAUGGCAACACAGGCAUAUUCGAAGUCCGUAGAUGCAUUCUUGAAAGGGGUUUUUAGUGCACAAACAUGUUUACGUAGCUUUUUUGAGCAGGUUGGUAUUUCUGCCAAUUUUCAAAAUCAUGCACGUCUAGAGUUGCAGUAUAUGCAUCUUAAAACAUGUGUACCCAUUGAAGAGAAUGCACGAAGCGUUCUUACGCCUUUUGCCUUCAAUGCUUUACAAAAUGAAUUGGUGCUGGCCAUGCAGUAUGCAACCUCUGAAAUGGCUAAUGGGUCCUAUAUAGUACGCCACUUCAAGAAGAUGGAUGGAGAGCGUCUUGUAAUAUGGAUUCCAGAAGAUGAACAGGUCCAUUGUUCUUGUAAGGAAUAUGAAUCUUCAGGAAUUUUGUGCAGGCAUGCUCUUAGGGUACUUAUAAUAAAAAACUACUUUCAGCUUCCUGACAAGUAUUUUCCAAGUAGAUGGCGACGAGAAAUCUCUCCAGUUAUUUAUGAAAAUAAUGCUACUCAAAAUGGUGAGGAUGAAUGGUUUCGAGAAUAUCAAUGCCUUAGUGAAACUGUAUUCACAGAAUCAUCCAUUACAAAGGAGCGUUCCGAUUAUGUUCGUAGCAAACUGACCAAAGAGCUUACAAGGCUUCUUAAUGAGGUCAGAAAUCUACCAGAGACUGAUGUGGUUGCUAUGGAUUUGACACUUUCACCGACUUGUUGAUUUGAAGUGGUGGGUCUAUGUAUUCUAGCAAAUGCAACACUGGAUACUUCUUCUAUUGGAGGCAACAGACAUGUGGAAGAAUGUAUGAGUAAAAGCUGAUGAAGGUGAAAAAGAGACAAAAGUAUAAUGCAUUCUCAUUAAUACUUCCAAUCAAAAGAGGCAAUAUUCUGGGAAUGGCUAACCAGAAGUGUAUAUUGUGGCUUCCUGUAUGAAUAACUUGGCUGAAAAGGAUGCAGAUGAGGCUGAGUAGGGUGGAUUUCUUCCAUAAAUGUUGCAGUGGCCCUCAUCAAUCUAGGGGCCCUUCUAUAUCUAGAUCUUUCCCCACGAUACCUGAUUUUUAGUUACAUACUUACAGGUAAGUUUAAUACAUUAUUCAUUCAAUUUGAAUCUGAACUUGAAAAAGAGACCCUGUCCAUGAUACGUGGCACUAAAAAUAUUAAUAACAAGAGAAUGGAAAUGAUAGCUGCAAAAUUGUAGCCACGUGUAAGAACCACAUUGAAGGGUCGGUUUCUGUACUGUACAACAUGAUACAUGACUGAGAAGGACAAAUAUCAAUUUGCCAUAUUGAGUGGAUUGCCCUAUUUAUUUUCGAAUUAAUAUCAAAUCUCGACCCUUAAAAGAUUGA